ensembl:lncRNA
CUUCUCUUCCUUUCCUCAUUCUCUUCUUCGUGAUUUGAGCCAUGGAGGGAGUAUGUGCCUCACUGUAGCUCCCAGCUUCAGACGUGUCUGAAGCUACAUUGCUGUAUACCUACUAAAGAAUAUUUUGCCUGCAUUUUCUAUUCUUGCAGCAUAGGACAAUGUGUGACUGAGACCUUAAAUCCCUCCACUCUCUCAUUGCAGAGAGUCAGAGAAUCAGAAAACCAGAGAAUCAGGCAAUCAUUCGGCAUAUACAGAAGGAUCCAGGACGCUUGCAAUACACACAUUUUGACCACAUGAAGAAUAAAGACCUCUCAACACCACUGGUAGAUAUUCCAGAAAAACAAAACCCGAAACAGUGUGAAAAGAAAGAUUUGAAGACAUUUAACAAUUCCCUGGAUUCUGUGCCACAGUUCCACGAAUAUCAUAAUCUUAGAAGCAGCCUUCAUGAACUUGCCAAGAGGUGGCAUUCACAGAAUGAAAGUGACCUGAAUUGUAAAACUUCAAAAGGACGCCCCAAGCAACUAUUGGAAAAUCUAAAAAUAUUUCUGAAGAGACUGCAUGACGGCAAGUGGUUGAAAACAGAAGCAAAGCAAUGAGACAAAGAAAGUUUUUCAAAUGCUUUGUUAUGCAUUUUCACUGAGCCAAGUUUCGUGAAGAAGACCAAAUGUUCAGUGCAUCUUCUCCAAAGAAUAUGGAAUUGUAUUUUGGCUUUAUUUACUUAUUUGAUCACCCUACACCUACAGAGGUUUUAGGGCAAUGUGACCGGUUCCCCCAUGCAGGGGGCAGGGGCACCUUCCUACGUCCUUCCCAAAGCCUAGUUAGUGCUUGACCAGCUUUGAGAAGAAGGAGAAGGAGAAGGAGAAGAAGGAGAAGAGGGCUCUAGGACCCUGCCAGAGUUUCAUGCCUGCUUCCCAAAGCUUAGCGCCUCCCUUGCCCAGCUUUGGGAAGAUGGCUUUGCGCUGGGUCCCCCACUUCAAAUUUUGGCCUCACACAGGAUACCAUAUUACCAAGGUCCAUCCAGGAUACCUAGCACUUUUAAUUUUUGCUUAAAUUUUAUUUAUUUAUUAUUUGUUUGCUUGUUUGUUCAGUUGCUGUUUCUAUAAACAGGAAGUAGCAUUUCUUUCAGUGGGUGAAUUUUGGUAAUCGUGCUUUAAGCCAUUUCGAGCUUGUUUGUAGUGUGUCUGUGUGUGCGCGCGUGCAUACACAGUGGAACUUUGGUUUUCGAGCGUCUCGGAAGCCAAAUGAUUAGGAGCCCGAAUGCUGAAAACCCAGAAGUGAAUGCUUCCAAUUUGGAAUGCGCCUUGGAAGUCUAAUGGCUUUCAACAACAACAACAACAACAACAACAACAACUUAUUAUUUAUACCCCGCCCAUCUGGCUGGGUUUCCCCAGCCACUCUGAGCAGCUUCCAACAAAACACUAAAAUACAAUAAUCAAGGUGUGCUUCUCCAUUUUCUCAAUGGAAUUUGAUGACCGCCCAUUGCAUCUUGGUUGUCGAACAUUUUGGAAGUUGAACGGUAUUCCGGAAGGGAUUACGUUCGACAACCAAGGUUCCACUGUAUAAUAUCUAUGAAAUACAAGGUUGAUCUUAAAAUGUACAGGCAUCACAGAUUGUGGCCAAUGGCAUAGAGGAGAACAUGGUCAUAUAACAUACUGUCUGAGCUUCAUUCAUUCUUAUGGAUAACUCAGUGGUAGGACAUCUGUUUUGCAUGCAGAUGGCUUCAUCUCCAGAACAGCCACUACCAGUCAAUGUAGACAAAUACUGAGGUAGAUGAUGGUUUAAUUCAGUAUAAGGCAGCUUUCUAUGUUCCUAUGGAUAACAGAGACUUCAGGCAUAUUUGUAUAUUCAAACAUACCCUCAUGUUGUAGGUUAAAAAUAAGUCUAUUGAAAGAUUUAUAUGUGAAUGGAAAAAGUGAUGUGCACUAUUAUUAUUUAUACAAUGGAUUUUAUUUAUGCUAUGCAAUUAUUUAUUUUGUAUGCAGUCACUCCUUUAUGCUUAAGAAAACCAAAAUAAAACUGGUAUACAGAUACCAAAUGUAAACCAUGCUUUCCUGAAGGGGUUGUAAAUGGCUAGUGGAGUGCGUGUGACCUUCGAAUAAAUAAUUUUGCCUAAAUACUGUUUUGUUUUAUUGUGAGAAAAUAUUGUUGUUGGCAUCUGUGGAUAAAGAGGAGAGGUGGGAGGCACUGGCCAUGGGAAACCCCAGAGGAGGAAGGCUCAGAGUCAGAGGAUUGGUGGUGGGACACUGGGAGGAGGUCAGAGGGAGGAGAUGGGGAAGAGGGGCUAGAUGCUGAAGGGGCAACAGGGUUUAGUGAGCAGGAAGAACCUGG